rnacentral:rRNA from 1 species
GAUCAUGGCUCAGGAUGAACGCUAGCUACAGGCUUAACACAUGCAAGUCGAGGGGCAUCAGGGUGUAGCAAUACACCGCUGGCGACCGGCGCACUGGUGAGUAACACGUAUCCAACCUGCCCUUUACUCGGGGAUAGCCUUUCGAAAGAAAGAUUAAUACCCGAUGGUAUAACAUGACCUCCUGGUUUUGUUAUUAAAGAAUUUCGGUAGAGGAUGGGGAUGCGUUCCAUUAGGCAGUUGGCGGGUAACGG